UCCGCCGGCGGAGGUCGCGGUGACCGCGACGGUGCGCCGGUCGACGGCGCUGCUGGGCGGCGCCGCCAGCUGGGCGGUGAAAGAGGGCGGGCCCCAGGUGGAGGGCGGGACGGUGUGGUUCCGACCGGCGGC